rnacentral:rRNA from 1 species
AUGCCGUCUCUCCACGGCGAUGAAAUCGACGGUCCAAUUGCCUUCAAGAGGUCAAGUGCCUCUAUGAAGAAGAACAUGCCCACUCCCACCCGCUCAUCAGGAACUGUAGUGAAGCCAAACAGUCUUGGACAACAUUGUCAGAAGAGUAACCUGAAAAGACUACGUGUGGAAGAUGUCCUCAUGUCGGAUGAUUCAGACGAUGACAAACCUAUUGCAGUAAGGAUGAAGGUUUGUGAGAGGAAAUCAAAGGAAAUCAUUAGAAAAGGUGCCAUGCCAGAUGGUGAUUCUGAGGAUGAGAGACCGAUUGCAUCAAGGAAAAAUGUUCGUGAGAGGAAAUUGACGACAAUCAAUGCAGGAGGUGCCAAGGCAGAUGGUGAUCGUGACCAAAAUUCAGAUGAUGAGAAACCGCUGGCCGCGAGAUUGGCCAUUAGCAGCGCUGCUCCAAAAACCGGAGGCAAUGUCUCUGAUGAUGAUUCAGAGGAUGACAAGCCACUGACUGCCCGUUUUAAUCUUGUUACCGGGGGUGCAUCCAGAAACUCAGUCGAAAGGAGAGGUGGUCGUAGUGAUCAAACAGUCUCCGCUCUUAAUAAGGACAGGUGGCCUUCAGAUGCUUCUGACUCGUCGAGUGUCGAAAGCGAACCCAAGGAUGAACCCGAGCACGAUGGUCGAAAGAAAUGGUCUACUUUGGUGCACAAUGGUGUGGUCUUUCCUCCUCCGUACAAGCCUCAUGGUGUCAAGAUGCUUUACCAUGGGCGGCCUGUUGAUCUGACCCCAGAACAGGAGGAGGUUGCAACCAUGUUUGCUGUGAUGAAAGACACAGAGUACGCAUCCAAGGAAACAUUUAUCACCAAUUUUUUCACCGAUUGGAGAAAAAUUCUUGGUAAAACACAUAUCAUCACAGAGUUCGAGCUUUGUGAUUUCACACCGAUCUAUGAAUGGCAUUUCCGAGAGAAGGAGAAGAAAAGCCACAUGACAUCAGAGGAGAAGAAAGCAUUGCAGGAAGAGAAAUCGAAACAAGUAGAGAAGUUUAUGUGGGCUUUUGUAGACGGUGUUAAAGAGAAGGUUGGCAAUUUCAGAGUAGAACCACCUGGCUUGUUCAGGGGACGUGGAGAGCAUCCAAAGAUGGGAAGAUUGAAGCGACGCAUCCGACCAAGUGAUAUUACGAUAAACAUCGGAGAAGAGGCUCCCGUCCCAGUGUGCCCUACACCUGGAGAAAGCUGGAAAGAAGUGAAACAUGAUAAAACUGUUACAUGGUUGGCCUCUUGGAACGAUCCAAUAAACGAAAAAGACAUCAAGUACGUUUUCCUUGCGGCAAGCAGCUCACUAAAGGGACAGAGUGACAAGGAGAAAUAUGAGAAGGCCCGGAAACUGAAGGAUUACAUAGGCAGUAUUCGGGCAAAUUACACCAAGGAUUUCAGCAGCAAUGAUCAGAGGAAGAAACAAAUUGCAGUGGCAACAUACCUUAUAGAUAAACUAGCCCUUAGGGCAGGCAAUGAAAAGGAUGAGGAUGAGGCAGAUACUGUUGGUUGUUGUACACUUAAGGUUGAAAAUGUUACUUGUUUGCCUCCAAACAAGCUUCAGUUUGACUUUCUUGGUAAAGAUUCUAUAAGAUACUAUAACACUGUAGAGGUUGAACUAGCUGUAUACGAGGCUAUUAAGGAAUUCUGUGCAGGUAAAAAGAAGGGAGGAAAUGUCUUUGACAAGCUUGAUACAACUAAACUAAAUGCUCAUCUCAAGAACUUAAUGCCUGGCCUGACUGCAAAAGUCUUUCGUACAUACAAUGCUUCCAUCACUUUGGACACCUUCUUGAACAAAGAAACAACAGAUGGAACCGUUGAUGAAAAGGCUAAAGUCUAUCAACGAGCAAAUAAAGAGGUUGCUAUAAUCUGCAACCAUCAGCGUGCUGUCCCAAAAUCACAUGAUUCCCAGAUGAAUAAGUUGAAUGAAAAGAUUAAUGAAUUAACGGCUCAGAGGGAUCAGUUGAACGUAGAAUUGGAGAAAGCAAAUAAACUUGUGUCUAAAAGAGCAAAGAAACGAAAGCUUGUAGGCUCUGAUGGAGAUGCGAAGCGAAGGAGAAAAUUGACCCCUGAAAUGUUGCAGAAGAAGUUAUCGCAGGUUGAAACUAGGAUAGUGGAAACGGAUAACCACAAGAACAACAAAGAAGAUUUGAAGACAGUGGCACUAGGCACAUCAAAGAUUAACUACCUUGAUCCUAGAAUUACUGUGGCGUGGUGCAAAACCCAUGAAGUUCCUAUUGACAGGGAUAAGAUUUUCACCAAGACAAUUCUGGAGAAAUUUGCAUGGGCAAUGGAUGUCGACCCAGAUUUCAGAUUCUAA